CCUACGGGGGGCUGCAGCAAGGAAUUUUCCCCAAUGGGCGCAAGCCUGAGGGAGCAACGUCGCGUGGAGGAUGACGGCCUUCGGGUUGUAAACUCCUUUUCCAUGGGAAGAUAGUGACGGUACCAUGGGAAUAAGCCCCGGCUAACUCCGUGCCAGCAGCCGCGGUAAGACGGAGGGGGCAAGCGUUGUCCGGACUUACUGGGCGUAAAGCGCACGUAGGCGGCUUGGAACGUCGGUGCUGAAAGCGCCGGGCUUAACCCGGCGAGGCGUGCCGA
rnacentral:rRNA from 1 species